rnacentral:lncRNA from 1 species
GUUGAUAAAGAAUUUUAAAAGUAAUUUUUAAAAGCUACUUUAAUGUUUCUGAGUUACAUUUCCUUUCCUUCUUAUUUUUGGCAGUCUAUUGUAUAUUGAGAGAACCUUGACUGUGCCUGCUACAGCAACAAUUUGCAGAAUGGAUCUUUAUUGAGCUCUAAUAAGGACACUACUCCGGAAGUUCUGCAUUAAGAUGAUGAAAGUUGUGGUCCUGCUUCUCUUUGCCAUAUUGCUUUCUGCCAAGCAUGCCAGUGCUCAGUCAUGUUGCGGCAUUGAUAAUCUGAUUGACCAGAAGAUCCAGGCAGCGGUUAAAGCUGCAGUGUCUGCUGCCACCUCAAAGGCCCAGCUGUUUUGCCUAAACGUAUCAUCAAGAGGAGCAGAUGUCUCCUGCCCUUCAGGUGAGAUGUCCAGGUGAAGUGCUGGGGUUGGGAGGAAAUCAGAUGUUGGGG